rnacentral:rRNA from 1 species
ACCAUCAGGUGGCCGCAGAGAAUAGGCCCAAGCGACUGUUUACCAAAAACAUAGGUUUCUGCUAAGUCGCAAGACGAUGUAUAGGAGCUGACGCCUGCCCGGUGCUGGAAGGUUAAGGGGAUCUGUUAGAGCAAUCGAAGCAGUGAACUUAAGCCCCAGUAAACGGCGGCCGUAACUAUAACGGUCCUAAGGUAGCGAAAUUCCUUGUCGGGUAAGUUCCGACCCGCACGAAAGGCGUAACGAUUUGGGCACUGUCUCAACAACAGACUCGGUGAAAUUGUAAUUCCGGUGAAGAUGCCGGAUACCUGCGACAGGACGGAAAGACCCCAUGGAGCUUUACUGUAGCUUGACAUUGGGUCUUGGUACUACAUGUACAGGAUAGGUGGGAGGCUUUGAAACCAGGACGCCAGUUUUGGCGGAGCCAUCCUUGGGAUACCACCCUUGUAGUACUGGGACUCUAACCAUAGGCCAUGAAUCUGGUCUUGGGACACUGUCAGGUGGGCAGUUUGACUGGGGCGGUCGCCUCCCAAAAGGUAACGGAGGCGCUCAAAGGUUCUCUCAGUACGGUCGGAAAUCGUACGUAGAGUGUAAAGGCAAAAGAGAGCUUGAUUGCAAGACAUACAGGUCGAGCAAGGAUGAAAAUCGGACUUAGUGAUCCGGUGGUUCUGCGUGGAAGGGCCAUCGCUCAACGGAUAAAAGCUACCCUGGGGAUAACAGGCUUAUCUCCCCCAAGAGUCCACAUCGACGGGGAGGUUUGGCACCUCGAUGUCGGCUCAUCACAUCCUGGGGCUGUAGUAGGUCCCAAGGGUUGGGCUGUUCGCCCAUUAAAGUGGUACGCGAGCUGGGUUCAGAACGUCGUGAGACAGUUCGGUCCCUAUCCGUCGCAGGCGUAGGAAAUUUGAGAAGACCUGUCCUUAGUACGAGAGGACCGGGAUGGACG